UAACAUUUUAUUUUUAUUGACUGCAUUUUAAAAUCAUGGUAUAAAUCAACGUUUGUAUAUUUGAGUGCGUAGAUAUUAGCCAUAGUAAUAUGAUUUAAAACAAAUUUAGCUUUUAGAAUGCGUAAUCGUCCUAGGUGAAAUUAGUAAUGUCUCACAGCAUAUUGCAUCAGGUAGAAUACGUAGUUUAAAUCGAAUCUACUAUCUGGCGUCGUCUUCAUUUAGACAAAAUCUCAGGGCGCAAUGAAACCUGCUGUCUGCUAGUUACUACUUCAAAGCGCAUAGCAACUUCUAUAUAAAAUAAAUGAAACGGAUGAGGAAACGUUCACUGUAGUUGCGUCAGCAGCGGUUGGGCCAUGACUGGCAAUAAAUUAUCUUGCCUGGGAACGUAUAAAUGCGGGACGGUCGGCUUUACUCACCGCAUAGACUCACCUACACUGCACAGCUAUACUCACCAAGAGGUAGAUUGGACGCAGUCGCUUUCCUUAGGACAAUACGAACAGAUUUCGUCGAUUUGCAAACGACACAAUCAUCAUUAUAGCAGAUAGAAACGUACAACCAGGUAACAGAAUCCAGAAUGUUUACUCCGAAGUUCUGUGGCCAAACUUCCUCCUCCCCUGAGGCUUCCGGUCCUCGUUGGCAUCACGGUGCACCAGGAGGAGGGCCUCACCACCGCUACCCCCCAUGUGGGCCCCAUCACAUACCCCAUGGUCACUGGAAUGCACCCCAUCUUCACAUGGGUCCUCACAAUGGGCCAAGGAGACAUCAUUGUCCUAAGGGACAUCAAGGACUUAUGGGAUACUACGGGACAAUGGGACAUCAUGGACCAAUGGGACAUCACCGUCACCAUCCUGAAUGGAAACACUUUGGGGGAUUCCACCCUAGAGCCUGGGGUCCACACCGUCGUUGCCAAGAUCAGCCACCUCAGAGCAACAACGUUCAGCCACCUCAGUAGGCAGUGUGAUCAGUCAUCUGCUAAUUAUUGAAAUUUCCUAAAAGGGACCUCAAUUUCAACUAUCAACAUAACCGAUAGACGAGCGAAUUUCUUGAAAUAAAAGCAGAUGACAAAAUAAUAGAUAGGAACUUUAAUUUUUCACGUAUUUUGAUGGCUAAUGUGGCUUUCUUUGGUGCUUCAUGUGCAGCAUAAUUUGCAUUUAUUCAUUGGUGUAAAUAUUUUCGUCACUUCAUUACCCUUUUAUUUAAGUGUAGUUGUAGUUGGAAAGUUUGCUUGCUCAAAUACCCAGGUAAUUAAAGCUUUCAACUUUCCCAUUUAAUAAAUAACUGUCUACAAGUG